rfam:Schistosoma mattheei strain Denwood, Zambia genome assembly, scaffold: SMTD_scaffold0001576
AGCUUUCUGUAUCAUGCCGAGAUGUCGUCAGGCACCAACCCACACAAGCUGAUGAAACUUCUGAGAUAAGUGAAGCG